rnacentral:rRNA from 1 species
AGAGUUUGAUCAUGGCUCAGAAUCAACGCUGGCGGCGCGCCUAACACAUGCAAGUCGAACGAGAAAGUGGAGCAAUCCAUGAGUACAGUGGCGUACGGGUGAGUAACACGUGGGUAAUCUACCUUUUAGUGAGGAAUAACCGAGGGAAACUUCGGCUAAUACCGCAUAAGCCUGAGAAGGGAAAGCAGAAAUGCGCUGAAAGAGGAGCCCGCGGCCGAUUAGCUAGUUGGUGAGGUAAGAGCCCACCAAGGCAGAGAUCGGUAGCCGGCCUGAGAGGGCACACGGCCACACUGGCACUGAAACACGGGCCAGACUCCUACGGGAGGCAGCAGUGGGGAAUCUUGCACAAUGGGGGAAACCCUGAUGCAGCGACGCCGCGUGAGCGAUGAAGCCCUUCGGGGUGUAAAGCUCUUUCGUCAGGGAAGAUAGUGACGGUACCUGGAGAAGCAGCUGCGGCUAACUACGUGCCAGCAGCCGCGGUA